rnacentral:rRNA from 1 species
UACGUAGGGUGCAAGCGUUGUCCGGAAUUACUGGGCGUAAAGAGUUCGUAGGCGGUUUGUCGCGUCGUUUGUGAAAACUCACAGCUCAACUGUGAGCCUGCAGGCGAUACGGGCAGACUUGAGUACUGCAGGGGAGACUGGAAUUCCUGGUGUAGCGGUGAAAUGCGCAGAUAUCAGGAGGAACACCGGUGGCGAAGGCGGGUCUCUGGGCAGUAACUGACGCUGAGGAGCGAAAGCGUGGGGAGCGAACAGG